UUAGACCAGGGUCUAUAGGGUAGUAGUGCACUACUUUAGACCAGGGUCUAUAGGGUAGUAGUGCACUACUUUAGACCAGGGUCUAUAGGGUAGUAGUGCACUACUUUAGACCAGGGUCUAUAGGGUAGUAGUGCACUACUUUAGACCAGGGUCUAUAGGGUAGUAGUGCACUACUUUAGACCAGGGUCUAUAGGGUAGUAGUGCACUACUUUAGACCAGGAUCUAUAGGGUAGUAGUGCACUACUUUAGACCAGGGUCUAUAGGGUAGUAGUGCACUACUUUAGACCAGGGUCUAUAGGGUAGUAGUGCACUAUAUACUAGGUAAUGGAUUCUCAGUCAAUUGUCCUUUAAACAACGACCGGUUAAUCAGAAACCAAAGAUGACAGGAGAGCUUUAUUAUGGCUAGUAACGGCCAGGGUAGAUGUGUUGGGUAUUGUAUUGCUAUUGAACUAAACGAUUAGCAUACUAGUGAUGUAUACAAUAUUAGUUACUUUCAAACGUGUAGAGGACAUUUAAAGUAGUGCAAUAGAUACACUACCAGUCAAAAGGUGUUCUAAAACCAGUACUGUAUAGGAUGGCUAUUCAUUUUUAUGUUAAAGGAUAAAAUUAGCAGGUAUGCUAGUCUAGCUCUGGUUACAUUGUUUGUUUUUUUAUAGCUUAGCUUGCUAUAUCACGAUUCUUUGUAGUAUGAUCUAUUGAGCAUAUCAACUCACUGUGCUACGUCUAGGGUGGCAAAAGUACGUAAACGUUCUUAAAAUUCCCCGAAUUUCCCAAAAUCCUUGUUGGAAGGAUCUCGGAAAUCAGGAGCGGAUAAGCAGGAUUUCUGGAAAAUCUGGGAAUUUGGGGAAAGUUUGCAACCCUAGAUACAUCCUCAAUAUGACAUGUAUGUAAAGGCCUUACUGUAUAUAAGGGAGAGAAGGAGAGACGAGCGAGAGAAGGAGAGAAGGGAGAUAAGGAGGGUAUGAGAUAAGGUGGGUAAGAGAUAAGGAGGGUAAGAGAUGAGGAGGGAAAGAGAUAAGGAGGGUAAGUGAUAAGGAGGGUAAGUGAUAAGGAGGGUAAGUGAUAAGGAGGGUAAGUGAUAAGGAGGGUAAGUGAUAAGGAGGGAAGAUUGAAGAAAAAUAAAGGGUUGAGUACAAGGGGCUAUUCCAGGAAGCAGGAAGCAGGAUCAUUGAGUUAGCCUGAACUGUCCUAAAUAUUCAAGAAAUGACAUUGCAUUUGUUUUGAAUAUAUAUAUGUAGAGAGAGAGAGAGAGAGAGAGAGUUGAAAUUAGCAUGUUGUAAUUGACUUGACAACCACCAACACAUAUUGAAGUUUAGCUUUCAAAAUGAAACAGAAAACCCCCCAAUAUUUACCUGAAAAUUAAGCGAGAUAUCUGACUGUUUGUCAAAGUUAGCUCACUAAUUUAAUCCUGCUUUCUGGAAAGGCUCCUCACUGUGAAUCUAGGUCAUUGUGAGGAUAGAGAAUAUGUUUGUGUCCAAAACUGCACCCUAUUCCCUAUUUAGUGCACCUACUGUAUUUAGGGCCCAUAGGGGAUCUGGUCAAAAGUAGUGCACUGUGUAGGGAAUAGGGGUGCCUUUUAGGACGUGGCCUAUUUGACCACCGACAGUUGUGUGUAUGAUAGUUGUAGAAUACUACACAGGUUUAUACAUUUGAUUGAUGUCUAUUGAGACUGUAUGACAUGAAUGUCUUAUCCUAUGAAUGUCUACUAUCUGAACAGUAUGUCUGUAAUGUCUCUUUGUGCACACGUCUAGGAAUGUCUCAAUGACCACACUAUGAAUGUACGUGUACCUCUCCAGUUAGGCAAAGGGGUCUGUUCCGUCCAUUCAUGAAAUGAGGAAUUCUUAUAGAAAAUAAAUUCAAGCGUUGAACAAUUCAAGGUUUGAAUUUGAAAUUGAAACGGACAAAAUUCAACCCCUUGAGUUGAGAAUGAAACUACGCCCAACCCUGCACUGAAUCUGUCUUUGUUCUGUCCCUCUCACUGUCUGACUGUCAUCUGUAGCUAGUACAAUCUAAAAUAAUGUCUCUCAAGUAUGUUUUUCCUAUGAAUGUAUUCAGGCUAUCUAUGUAUGAGUAUACUAGCAGUGUUAUUGUCAAUGAAUGUAAAUCUUUGAAUGUUCUCUGACUGCCUGUCAAUGAAUCUAAGUGUUUGAAUGUUCUCUGACUGCCUGUCAUUGAAUGUAAAUCUUUGAAUGUUCUCUGAUUGUGUCUGAAUAUAUUUCAGGUUCCGUAGGACUACUUUGAGCCCUGCGCGGGCAUGCAUUUUAAACCAGAGCUCUACCAAUGCCAGGCAACAUUCAGGCCCUACCCUGCCCAGGCCCAAUUGCUUCUGCCAAAUUUAAGGCCCAUUCAUGCACGAAGCCCAAAAUCUGAAAUCACUUCCUCUGUUAGUAAAUCCAUUAGCUGCUCUGUCUGUCACUCGCUCCCUGCACACAGCUCGCUCUGCAUGCGCUCUGAGUCUGUGAGUAACCAUAGCGACGGCUCCUCUUGGGCUGCUCAAUGACGAGAUAUGAGAGGGCUGUUAGCUGUUAGCUAAUUUUCACUCAAGGAACAUUAUUAUUUUCUGUCAAAUAAUCUCUCCUGUUUUAUAUUUGACAAUGUUGAAGCACUUCUAACACCAUGUUAUGAUCUUAGUCAGAUAUGACUGUACUGCGCAGCAGAGCACGCGCAAAUGGCUCACCUUCAACAUUUUAAUGAUCAUUUAAUGAUACCCGAGCCGUACCAGUACCCUAGUUAUUGAUGAAAAAAAAAAAAAGGCCUUACCCGGCCCUAACCCGAUGUAUAAUGCUGGGGCCCGUCGGGCUUGGGACCAACAGCAGAGCUCUAGGACUACUUAUCUUCUCAGUCCACCAAUAGCAGAGCUCUAGGACUACUUAUCUUCUCAGUCCACCAAUAGCAGAGCUCUAGGACUACUUAUCUUCUCAGUCCACCAAUAGCAGAGCUCUAGGACUACUUAUCUUCUCAGUCCACCAAUAGCAGAGCUCUAGGACUACUUAUCUUCUGAGUCCACCAACAGCAGAGCUCUAGGACUACUUAUCUUCUCAGUCCACCAAUAGCAGAGCUCUAGGACUACUUAUCUUCUCAGUCCACCAACAGCAGAGCUCUAGGACUACUUAUCUUCUCAGUCCACCAAUAGCAGAGCUCUAGGACUACUUAUCUUCUCAGUCCAGAGCUCUUCAUAUCAGCGUCCCCUAUUCCCUUGCAAGUGCACUACUUUUGACUAGAGCCAUCAAAAGUAGUGCACUAAGGGAUAGGAUGACAUUUGGGACGCAGUUCAACCUGUUGACCAGCCUGUUGGUCAGCCUGUUGACCAGCCUGUUGACCAGCCUGUUGGUCAGCCUGUUGACCAGCCUGUUGACCAGCCUGUUGGUCAGCCUGUUGACCAGCCUGUUGACCAGCCUGUUGAUCAGCCUGUUGACCAGCCUGUUGAUCAGCCUGUUGACCAGCCUGUUGGUCAGCCUGUUGACCAGCCUGUUGACCAGCCUGUUGACCAGCCUGUUGACCAGCCUGUUGACCAGCCUGUUGACCAGCCUGUUGGCCAGCCUGUUGGUCAGCCUGUUGGUCAGCCUGUUGACCAGCCUGUUGACCAGCCUGUUGAUCAGCCUGUUGACCAGCCUGUUGACCAGCCUGUUGGUCAGCCUGUUGACCAGCCUGUUGGCCAGCCUGUUGACCAGCCUGUUGGUCAGCCUGUUGACCAGCCUGUUGACCAGCCUGUUGACCAGCCUGUUGACCAGCCUGUUGAUCAGCCUGUUGACCAGCCUGUUGACCAGCCUGUUGACCAGCCUGUUGACCAGCCUGUUGAUCAGCCUGUU
rnacentral:lncRNA from 1 species